rnacentral:rRNA from 2 species
UUGUAGCCUGCUAUGGUAUAACUUAGUGGCAGACGGGUGAGUAAUAUAUAGGAAUCUACCUAGUAGUACGGAAUAAUUGUUGGAAACGGCAACUAAUACCGUAUACGCCCUACGGGGGAAAAAUUUAUUGCUAUUAGAUGAGCCUAUAUUAGAUUAGCUAGUUGGUGGAGUAAUAGCCUACCAAGGCAAUGAUCUAUAGCUGAUCUGAGAGGAUGAUCAGCCACACUGGAACUGAGAUACGGUCUAGACUCCUACGGGAGGCAGCAGUGGGGAAUAUUGGACAAUGGGCGAAAGCCUGAUCCAGCCAUGCCGCAUGAGUGAAGAAGGCCUUUGGGUUGUAAAGCUCUUUUAGUGAGGAAGAUAAUGACGGUACUCACAGAAGAAGUCCUGGCUAACUCCGUGCCAGCAGCCGCGGUAAUACGGAGAGGGCUAGCGUUAUUCGGAGUUAUUGGGCGUAAAGGGCGCGUAGGCUGGUUAGUAAGUUAAAAGUGAAAUCCCGAGGCUUAACCUUGGAACUGCUUUUAAAACUGCUAACCUAGAGAUUGAAAGAGGAUAGAGGAAUUCCUAGUGUAGAGGUGAAAUUCGUAAAUAUUAGGAGGAACACCAGUGGCGAAGGCGUCUAUCUGGUUCAAAUCUGACGCUGAGGCGCGAAGGCGUGGGGAGCAAACAGGAUUAGAUACCCUGGUAGUCCACGCUGUAAACGAUGAAUGUUAAAUAUGGGAAGUUUACUUUCUGUAUUACAGCUAACGCGUUAAACAUUCCGCCUGGGGACUACGGUCGCAAGAUUAAAACUCAAAGGAAUUGACGGGGACCCGCACAAGCGGUGGAGCAUGUGGUUUAAUUCGAUGCAACGCGAAAAACCUUACCACUCCUUGACAUGAAAAUCAUACCUAUUC